UUUCAAUUUACAAAUAAAAUAUUGAAUCAUUAAUUUAACAAAAAAGAUUUAUACUUAAACGUAUUCAAACAGAAAAUCAAAACCCAAUAGAUAAUACAGUUUAUGAUUAAAUACCAUAAGGUACAAUAAUAUUCCCUGAUCCUCAAAGCUAAAAUCACAUAACAAUGCAAGCAUGGGGAUUGUCAUCACUGAAAAGGGAAGCAAUAGCCUCAUCGGAAGCCACAGCAACAGAGUAAAUGGCAGGAGUAUGAAAGAAAGUGUGAACGCCAUUAGAAGCUACAUUUUUGUAACUAUCGUAGUAAUGGUUGACAAUAUGAUUUGGAUAUUUAUAGAAAGAAGCAAAAUGAGAGUAUCCUGGAAAUGGCCAUGGCUCCGCUGCUUUCCCUGCUCGCUUUAUAGCUCUUAGCACCUUCUUUUCCUCUAAUCCAUACCCUCUCACUGUUAUUUUUUGUAUUUCCAUUUCUAUUUCCACUUCUUCUGCUCCUUUGAGCUUAAGGAGAGCUCUCUUCAACUUUGCAGCGCAACCCUCGCAGUCAAGGUUUGGAACUCUCACUUCUAUCAUAGACAUAGCUGGUUCACACAGUAUAGAGAAAGCAUGCGCAUUGGUGGACUGGAGACGAUAGUGAAGAGGAAUAUAUAUGAAGGUGAAAGCGUUAGGCAUUAAGGCUGCAGUCUUGGGUUUUG
rnacentral:misc_RNA from 1 species